UGCUCGUCAGUUUUGUGGAUUGGUGUGCGAAAUCAGGCGUCCGCGAAGGACAUCGCAGAGUACAUCAACAAGGAGGGAAGAAGCAAGUUGUUAUUUCAUGGCAACCUCAAGUUAUAGCAGCAUCGACAAUACAAGAUUUGAACCUAUAACAUGUAGGGACUGCGGACGAAGAACAUUUAUGUGUGUUUCUAGAUCAACCAAGAAUCCUGGAAGACAUUAUUACAGAUGUGAGCAACAUGGAUGGCAAAAGUGGGUGACGACCGAUACUAGGUCAUCGGCCAAAAUUGAAAGUGAGCACAAUGCAUUUCAUGGUCAUUAUCCGGGAAUAAUCAAUGUACCGAAAUUUAUUUGGAUAUUAGUGAUGGUGAACUUGAUUCUCUUAGCCGUAAUCCUUAUUGGAUUGUUAGUUCAUAUGGCAAGUUAGUAUUAAAUAGUAUUGUGUUGUAAUGUAACUACCUAAAUAUUUGUAAUUCUGGACACAAAUUUCGUUUGUUAGUUUAUAUCGUUAACUACUUUUGAAUCUUGAAUUA